GACGGAGGGUGCAAGCGUUAUCCGGAAUGAUUGGGGGUAAAGCGUUCGCAGGUGGCUGUUCAAGUCUGCUGUCAAAGACCGGGGCUUAACCCCAGAAAGGCAGUGGAAACUGAACGGCUGGAGUGCAGAUCGGGUAGAGGGAAUUCCCAGUGUAGCGGUGAAAUGCGUAGAGAUUGGGAAGAACACCGGUGGCGAAAGCGCUCUGCUGGACUGCAGCUGACACUGAGGGACGAAAGCUAGGGUAGCGAAAGGG
rnacentral:rRNA from 1 species